rnacentral:rRNA from 1 species
UACGGAAGGGGGCUAGCGUUGUUCGGAAUUACUGGGCGUAAAGCGCACGUAGGCGGAUCGAUCAGUCAGGGGUGAAAUCCCAGGGCUCAACCCUGGAACUGCCUUUGAUACUGUCGAUCUGGAGUAUGGAAGAGGUGAGUGGAAUUCCGAGUGUAGAGGUGAAAUUCGUAGAUAUUCGGAGGAACACCAGUGGCGAAGGCGGCUCGCUGGCUCGAUACUGACGCUGAGGUGCGAAAGCGUGGGGAGCAAACAGG